AUCAGCCUCGGAGCUGGGUCCGCUCGCCGCGCGCUGGCUCGCGGCCCGGCCCCCGCCCUGCUGUCCGGCCUGCUCUUGGCGCGUCCCCAGGGACCGGGCCCGCGCCGCGCUCCAGGCCCAGCGGGGAGGAGGAGGGCUCGCUGCCAGCUGAGGCUGACCUCCGGGAUGCGAGCGGCCGGGAGAACGGGCGACGUGCCACCUGCCUUGGCCUCGCCGCUCCUUCCUCUCUCCCUCCCCGAGUCCCCUUCCCCGUGCCCCUCGGCCGCCGACCUGAACCGAAAGGGGCUUCCUGUGCUUUUGCAUACUCUUGUGCCCCUUUUUCUCAUUUCCUCAUCACUAACAGGCGGGGAAACUGAGGUUCCCCAGGCGAAGCGACUGACUUGCCCAGAACCACACUACUGGGGUGGGGGCAGCAAAUAGGCGCCUAAGAUGAAGCUUAGAGAAAAAUGAACAACUCUGCCGAUAGAAAAGUCGUCCCUACCAAGACCGACUCGAGCGAGUUGGGGCGGAGAGGUUCAGGGCAAUGCUUUCCUGUUUCCCAGACUUUCUUUAAGGUGGCUUUAAAAUAUCUACAUUUGCCAUGAAAGUGUAAGCAAGCUAACUCCCACCGGGAAAUAAUGCUAUUCCUAGUCUUGUGGCCCCCGGAAGACUUGGAGCCAAGGGAGGCAGGUCAGGGGGCUGAAAUCCCGGUGAGGGGUCGCAAGGCCCCGCAGUGGAUUCCAGGGUUUGGCGUUUGGAGGGGUGAGGGGCGACCCGCAGCGCGACUCGACGGCGCCCCCCAGGGGCCGCCCGACACGUUUCUGUCACCUUGGCUCCAGACUGAGCUUCUCCAUCCCUUUCUUUAUUAUACAAAUAGGCAGUAUACACAGUGAGCGCCCACUAAGCGCUGGGCUGGGGGGCUCCAACCCGGAACAGAAGCCGGCCACAACCCUCGCUCCCUGUCGUCGCGGCCGUUAUAGGCCGAAAGCAAAAUCCAAUCCCGGGCCAUUCUGGGCGGAUUGCCAGGACCUGGAUCGCAACGCUUGGGAAGACCCCCGCCCCGCCCAGCGAUAUCCGUGCCCUGAGUCCCAGUGACGGCCCCCUGGACAGCGGAGCCUGCUGCAGCGACGCGACGCGCUAGGUACACAAACAUAAACAUUGCGCCACCCGCCCGGGUGCCGAGUCAGGAACAUUCUGCGGUUUCCUCCCCUCCUGGGGGAGGGGAUUUCGCUGGCCACCCUGUGUCGUCGCUGUGUGAGCUGUAUCACCAGUGGCAACUUCUGCAUUUGCCUCGCUUAGCUUGUGUGUUUUCGCCUGCGCAAAUGUUCCGCCUGGAUUCUUCUAGAAAAGUUCAGGGCAUGGAGUGCUUUUUUUUAAAAGGGCGUUUUCUACCUUCAUUUGAACAUUGGUCGAGGACAGCAAAGAGGUCCUCAGAUAAGAGCAACGCCCUCCCUGUAUGGAGAGAUAGAAGAAAAAUUGUUUAUACUACUUAUUCAGCUGAGGAACUCAACAUAGUUUUUGCGUUGAAUCAUAGAAUGUUACAGCUGCUGACCUUUCACUGCAUACCGACUUGAUUUGUCCCAUUUUUUUUCUCACCAAGAGCAUUUAUUAUACCUUCCCCUACCGAAAUUUUUCAAAAAGAAAACUUUUUUAAGAGCUGGGCGCUGUGGCUCACACCUGUAAUCCCAGCACUUCGGGAGGCCGAGGGGGGGCGGAUCAUGAGGUCAGGAGAUCGAGACCAUCCUGGCCAACAUGGUGAAACCCUGUCUCUACUAAAAAUACAAAAAUUAGCUGGGCGUGGUGGUGGGCGCCUGUAAUCCCAGUUACUCGAGAGGCUGAGGCUGAACCCGGGAGGCAGAGGUUGCAGUGAGCCAAGAUCACACCACUGCACUCCAGCCUGGUGACAGAGCAAGACUCUGUCUCAAAAAAAAAAAAAAAAAAGAAAGAAAAGAAAGCUUUUUAAUGCCAUUAUCACAGUAGUAGUGGCACAGUCUGGCCCUAGAGCCAGGUGUCUGCUGGCCUCUCCUGCUUUUCUCUCUCCUCCCUUGCUGGAAAGAGUGCAGAGAGUAGACUUGAACCCUGUCAUUUUGCUCCUGGAUGGUCAGAGGUGAGCCUCGACCCCUACUGAGCCUCCAAGCCCACAUCUGUACAGUGCGUCUACACUGGCCCACUUUGUAGAUGGUUUGAGGCCCAAGUGAAAGAUGGGGGGUUUAGAGAACCCAGGCCCUACCUCACCCCUGCUCUUUAUGAUUCACUGUAUCUCUAGGGUUUCCCCUUCCCAGCAGAAUGGUUCUUUAUAUAUCAUCAUGCCCCUGUGCCUUUCAGAGACUUGCCUCAGAACCAGGGAGAAGGUCACUGCAAGCCAUCUGCUUAUGAGAGACAUCAGUGGACAGGGGCCCAACUCAGGGAGAGCUCCUCUUUAAGACCCACCAACACGCAGAGCUCGGGCCAGUGGGUCACCUGCCCGGAGACAAGUGGUAAACGUGUAGCCACCUAGGCCCCCAAUCCAGGCAGUGGAGAUGCUGCUUCUGACUGAGGAUGGCGCCAAAGAGAGCCCAGCAUAAUCUGGUCUCUGUAACCACAGAAGGAGCGAGGGACUGGCCUUGUGGGCCUGGCUGCCAGAGGGAGUGAAGCAGAUAAAUCAGUGGAUGUUGACUCAGGGGAGAGAAUUGGGCCUUUCUGACCUGGGCUGUUCCCAAUUCUACCUAGUCCUGCUUAGGAAUAAACCUGGAGACAGUGAGGAGUAGCGGAAAGAAGGGUUCAGGGUUCCACACUCCCCAAAAAGCUGGCCUGGAUUUUCUACCUUUAAUGUGUGGCCUUGAGUAAGUGCCCCCAUGGUGCUGAGCUCCACCCCCUCCUUCCCAUGAUGGAGAGAAGAAUAAUAACAUUCACCUCCAGGGACUCUGGGGAGACUCAGUGUAGCCAGGGUUGGCCCUAGCUCACAAUCCCUGUCCUAAUCCUGCUCUCAAAGGCGACUUUGGAUCUCUCUUGGGAUCACAGGAAAAGAAAAGAGUUGAGCUCCCGCUGAUGACAGUCAGAAAGAGGCCCCCGCUCACUGUCUGUCUGGUGACCUUGGGCAAGCAGCUUACCAUUUCUGAGCCUCUGUUUCCCCAUUUGUAAACUGGGAAUAACAUCCAUUUAGGACCAAGUAAAACAGUGUAUAAGAACCUGAUGUGGAUGACACCCAAAGAGGGUGCUCUGAAGAGAGGGAGCAGGGCCCCACAUUCAUGUUCCCUCUUUCAAAACCCACGGCCUUUUUCCUGUCUCCCCUGUGCUGUAUGGGGGUUCCUCCCCUCAAUAUCCUUCUAUAACUCCCCAUUUCUUAGCAAAUCCAAAACUCACUGCCACUGGGCCUCGGCCAUCUAUAUGGCUCAGCUUCCCACUCUCUUUGCUUUCUCUCUUGUGCUCCAGGAAAAUUCUGUGGGCCUGUGUUCCUAGAAUGUUCUUGUCCUCUCCCACAUCUUUGCUCACAUUCCUCCCCCUCCCCCUGCCAGACAGUGGCCCCUCUGGGCUCCCCCAUAGUCUUUCCAGGUGAAGACUCCUCUGGUUUCUCCAACUUCUCCCUCUCCUGCAUCUGGAGGACAUUGUCCGUAUAUUCCGAUUGUGUACAAGUCACCUAGAUCUUUGUCAUACUCUCCCCAGGUUCUAAGUUGGUCAGCUUGAGGGCAAGGGGUGUGUUUUUCUCAACAUUGCACUCCCCAGCCUACUACCUUUGAUGCAGUGCCUGGCACAUAGUAGGUUCACAAUUUGGGAAAUGGUAGAAUUGUUUCAAAGGGUACUGCUGAAAAGUGUCAGAAGAGAGGAGGGUGGUCACUGACGCUUAUUAGGCCUCACCUCUGGGCCAGGUGCAUUACAGGUAUCAUUCCAUGAAUCUAUCAGUGAUCCUGUGAGGUGCUUGUUGUCCCCAUUUUAUAGGCAAGGAAAGAGGCUCAGAGAGGAGACAUGCCAAAGGUCACAUGCCUAAGGUUACAAAGCUGGUAAUCAUCAGAAACAGAUCCAAACCCAGCGCCUGUCUGACUUGAGAGAGGGAGCUGGGCCUGGGUCUGUUGAGGCCUCCGCGUCUGCCAGCCUCAUGUCUGGCAGCACUGGCUGAAGCCUCUGCCUCCCAGCUUCCUGGAGUUCUUCUCGCUGGACGGAGUGGUCCCUGGUGUCAGCCCAGCAGGGAGCCUGGAGCCUUCUAAGACUCCCAGCUCAGGCCCUACUGCCGCUGCUGAAGAGACUCUGUAGCCACUCAGGCCUACCUUGAGGGACUGGCAAGGGGCUGACUUCACCCUCUACACCCAGGCAGUUGGGACAGAGCUAGCUGCCAUUGCACAAUCUUUACAAACAGAUCUCCAUGCUCAGACCUGGCAGGGCCCACAGAGCUGUGUCAUCCUGUCUAACCUCCUCAUUUGAGAGGCAAGAGCCCAGAGACGUUAGGCAAUCUGUCCAAAGUCACACAGUGUUCAGAACAUUCUAACUGUAGUCAGCAUUGUGUGAGCUGUGUGUCCAAACCCUUAACAGUGUUUAUCUUUGGAAGGUGGAGUUCCUCUCAUUUUCUUCCUUAUGACUCUGAAUGAUUUGAACUUUUUAAACUUAAAUGUGUAACUUUUGUAACGAAGAAUAAAAGAAGAUUAGAAGGCAAUCAUAUGUAGGUAACAGCAUUGUUGUUAAAACCAAGUUACAGAGUUAGACUGCCUGGAUUAGAAUCCCAGCUUGCUUACUCACCAGCUGUGUGUAUUUGGGCAAGUUACUUUACCUCUGUGAGACUCAGUUUUCUCAUCUUUAAAGCGGGAAUAAUAAUCAUAUCGAUCUUGUAGGGCUGAUAGGAAGGUUAUAUAAGACAGUGAUUGGCACACUAGAGCCUGUGAACCAAACCUAGCUCGCUCCCUCCUUCUGUACAAACCACAGACUAAGACUGGUUUUUAUAUUUUAAAUGGUUGGGGGAAAAAAAUCAAAAGAAGAAUCUCAUUUUAUGACAUGUGAAUGUCAUAUAAAAUUCAAACUUCAGUGUCCAUAAAUAAAGUUUUAUUGGAACACAGCCACACCCGUUCCUUUACAUGGUAUCUGUGGCUGCUGUCACACUACAAUGGGAGGUGUAUAUUGUGACAGAGACAGUAUGGCUCACAAAGCCUCAGAUAUUUACCCAAGUCCCUUUACAGGAAAAGUUUGCCAACCCCUGAUAGGAGCUCAUGGAUGAAAAGUACUGUAGAACAAUGCCUGACACCGAUUGGAGUCUCGCUCUAUCGCCCAGGCUGGAGUACAGUGGCGCGAUCUCAACUCACUGCAACCUCUGCCUCCAGGGUUCAAGCGAUUCUGCUACCUUAGCCUCCUGAGUAGCUGGGAUUACAGGCACCUGCCACCACGCCUGGCUAAUUUUUGUAUUUUUAGUAGAGACAGGGUUUCACCCUGUUGGUCAGGCUGGUCUCAAGCUCCUGACCUCAUGAUCUACCUGCCCUGGCCUCCCAAAGUGCUGGGAUUACAGGCGUGAGCCACUGCGACCGGCUUAUCAAUAAUCAUUUAUAUCUCUCCCACUAGCUUGGAAGCUAGGGCAUGAUUUCUUGUCUCUCUUGGUCCCCAGUACAGAUCUCAAAGCAAGGCUUGUUGGACAAAUAAAUGAAGAUGAGCCCAAGAGCCCAGGAGAGGGACCGGGAACAGCAGGGCCUCCGUGACUCACACAAGCUUCAUCCCUGAACCAAGGAUGCAGCCUGCCAACAAUGGCCCCAAGCCACACCCCGCCACAGGGGGAACUGAUGCUGCGGUGAGAAGUGACAGCUUUCUGUUGACUUUUUUUUUUUAAACAGAAUAUGAAUUGAGACAUAAUUUCAUUUUCAUAAUCAGAACCUAACACUUAGUAACUAAUGUUGGUGGAAGCAAAUGAGAUCACAGUUUGUCUGUUCCAAACUCAUCUCUGGGAAAAGGAGGAGGAAAAAUUACUGGCCGAAUCAUAGCUGAAGAUGCAGAAAUUGUCCAUCCCAAUUUUGCCUUUGUAAGUAAUGUGGGGGCAGUUCUUAUUAGUAAUUGCCAAUCUCUACUGACACACAGUAUUUUGCUAGGCGCUUUAUAUUCAUUUCCUGGUAUGAUCAUGACAUUAACCCUGUGAAAUGGGUACCCUUACUAUCUCCAUGUGAAGAAAUGAGGGAACUGAGGACCAGAGAGGUGAACUGACUUAUCCAAAGACACACAGUAAGGGCUGUGACUCUCCGCUUUCUAAGAUUUUUGUUCUUAUCUCUCCACAGCACAUAGCAGGCGUAGUAUGAAGGCGGCAUGCUGCACAAUUUCGCUGUUUGUUUCUUGGAAUAAUAAUUUAUAGGGGGCUGCUUCUAGAUUCCAAAGGAAAGAGAAAGGAAAUAUGCCCCAAACUCAGGCUUUCUGCCUGGCCCUGCCUGACUCACUGAGCUGCAUUGCACAAAUGAUUCAUUCACUGGCCUUGACCUCAGUGGGUUUGGCCACCCAUUGAGAGUGAAGUCACACCUCCAGCACUGCGAUGCAUUUAUUGAUCCACUCACCUAGCUUCAUGGCAGGCAAGAAACAGGCCUGUGUGAGCCUGCCCGGGAUCAGGGACAGGAGAGCAUACGAGUGUUUCUGGAUAUCCUCAAGCUGUAGCUGGGCUGCCCGAUUCUUCCCUAGGAGAUCCUCCGAGGGCCUGAAUUAGUUUGCUAGGGCUUCCGUAACAAAGCGCCACAGACUGAGCGGCUUAAAUAAAAAUGUCUCAUCUCAUGGUUCUGGAGGCUGGAAGUCUGAGAUCAAGGUGCUGGGGAUUAGGACUUGAACAUAUGUUUUUUGGGGGCACACUUCAACCCGCCGGAGGGCCUGUGCCCCAAAGAGAGCCUCCUUCUGUGUGCAGUGAAGGUGUGAGUUCUAAACAUGAGAAAAAAACACCCCUUGUUCUUGGAUAGGGUGACUCGAUACCACAAACAGGUCCAACUGGCCCAGGUAAAUAUAUUCGUUUAACAUGAUCGUCACCAAAAUAUUGAGGGUAGGUGUUUUUUUCUGGAGUUAAACAAGUUGAUUCUGGAGUUGAUAUGAAAUAAUAAACAAGCAAAAA